rnacentral:rRNA from 1 species
AUACGGAGGGUGCAAGCGUUAUCCGGAUUCAUUGGGUUUAACGGGUACGUAGGCGGAUAGAUAAGUUAGUGGUGAAAUCCCGAAGCUCAACUUCGGAACUGCCAUUAAAACUGUCUAUCUUGAAUUUGGUUGAAGUGGGCGGAAUAUGACAUGUAGCGGUGAAAUGCAUAGAUAUGUCAUGGAACACCAAUAGUGAAGACAGCUCACUAAGCCAAUAUUGACGCUGAGGUACGAAAGCAUGGGUAGCGAACAGGAUUAGAAACCCUAGUAGUCC